rnacentral:lncRNA from 1 species
GCAGAUAUGACUUCGAACAACACUUAUAGUUAAACAUUUUUGAGUGAAUUUUAAUCUUACCUAAAAUCUGUUGCUAUAUAUGGUGCUAAAAUGGAACAGUUAGAACAAAAAUCUGCUACUAUAUUUACUUUUAUAUUUAGUUUCUGGGCAAUUAGAACAUAAAUAGAAAAUAGGGACAAGAAUAAGGGUACGGUUGGUUUCAAAGUUUGGAAGUCUAUCCAUUGUGACGUGAUUGACAGUGGCCUUUAAGAGUGGAAAAUGAUAAUUUUUGAACUGUCUAAUUGUUGUGAACACAUUCUAAAUUGGAACAAAAGCUUUGAAAUAUAUGGAGAUGCAAACCCAGCCUACCCCAUCCCUAUUAUCUAAUUGUAGUUUAUGCUAAAUUGACAAGCUGUUGGCUUUAUAUUCUAAUGUCAAUGUUGGCAUGUUUGUGCAAAUACUUGGAAAUGAUUAUUGUUCCUCUUGUCAAAAAUGUAGGUUGGAAUUGAUUAUUGUUCCUCUUGUCAUAAAUGUAGGUAUUUUGGAAAUCCCUUCAUCCGAAGACGACAAUCCGAAUGACAUGAGUUUACGAGAAGGAACUGAUAUUAUUGUGCCUAGUGUUGGAAUGAAGUUCCAAGAUGAGAAUGAGGUGUUCGAAUUUUACAAGAACUACGCGUACCAAGUUGGAUUUCCGGUGAGGAAAAGAAAUUCAAAGAAGGGUGAGGAUGGUGUUGUACGUUAUGUAACUUUUACAUGUAGUCGGGAGGGCCGUCGAACUAGUGGUUCAAAUGCAGUCAUGAAGCCUCAACCAACAAUGUAAAUAGGCUGUAAAGCAAGAUUGACAGCAUGUUCAGAACUUAGUGGCGCAUGGCGUAUUAACACUGUCCAUCUGGAGUAUAAUCACAAGAUAAGCCCAUUGAAAUCAAGGCUAUAUCGCUGCAAUCGAGAAAUCAGUGCACGCGCGAGAAGACGGCUUGAAAUAAAUGACGUAGCUGGUAUACUAUUACAUAAGAGUUUUAACUCGGCCGUAGUUGAAGCCGGUGGUUACGAAAUUAUUACGUGCGUUGAGAAGGAUUGUAGAAAUUUCAUUGACAAAGUCCGACGGUUAAGACUGGGUGAAGGAGAUACUCUUGCAAUACAAGUGUAUUUUACAAGGAUGCAAGCAACCAAUCCUAGAUUCUUCUUUAGCAUAGACUUGGAUGAUGAGGCCCAGUUGAGGAACGUGUUUUGGGCAGAUAACGGGUGUAGGCAAGCGUGUAAGGAAUUCGGUGAUAUAGUUACAUUUGACACCACGUACUUGACCAACAAGUACGAGAUGCCUUUCGCUCCUUUCGUUGGGGUAAACCAUCAUGGACAAUCAACCCUACUUGGAUGUGGUUUGCUAUCAAAUGAAGACGCAAGGACUUUUGUAUAUUCCGAACACGGCUUGAAUUAGUACUCCAGACCAAGUUAGAUAUGAGCAAAUGUGCAAUGCUUUUGCGAAGUUAGCUGACUUGGUAGCACACGACGAGUCACGGUCACGUGGUAUCAUGGAUUGUAUUGAAAUCCAAACAAAUGAUUCAUCGAUGUUGAAGUAUAGCAACGUGGGCUCUCAACGCUUGGAUGAAGCCGAAAAGUGUUCUGGCGGAAUCAUCUUGGACCCGAAAUAAAAAGUAAGGGAGCUCCUAAAAAACUUCGCCGAAAGAGACAUCUAGAAGCUGUUUCCAGAAAAUCGAAAAUCUGUCGUAAGGUAUGAUUUCAAGCAAAAAUAUUUAUUUUGAUAAUCAUUGUACAUAUUGAAUUGAGUAUAUUCUCCAUGACUUACAGAAUUCGACUACAACGAACGGGCAAAAAGACAAAGUUUCAUCAUCAUUCAAUGUUAAGGUAUUUUAGCAUGAGAUUAUAUAACACCAACUUAGCUAACUACCCUUUUGAAAUAUUUGUAAAUGAUAAUUGCAAUUCCAUUUGGUAGGAGGUCGGCACGCAGGAGAGUGUUGGAGAUUUUGAUGUAGUGGUAUAAGGCAUCUAGCAGAUUUUCAAUUGAUUUUGAUGUAGGCGUAUAAGGCAUCUACCAGAUUUUGAUGUGGGUCUGGUGGUGGGGUGGAAAAGAACGAUAUCAAGAUUGUAAUGAAUCUAAUGAUGCAUAUCAUAGCUAUGGGUACUGUUUUGAGAAGGGCUGGUAAUUGUGUUGAGAAGUAGCAAAAAAAAAGGCCCUUUGUUUUGAUAUGUGUUUAUAUAUCAAUAUCUUAUUAGCAUUGUUUUAAUUACUGCUCGAAAUUUGGAUAAGCUCAUUUAUCAGUUUUGUGUAUAUGUUGGAAUGUUCAGCUGUGUUUUGCCUCAAUGCUAAUCCCAAUUCGCACUCUGGGCAAGUUUUUCAACAGCCCUUCACUAUCAUAUUGGAAG